ACGAACGCUGGCGGCGUGCUUCACCCAUGCAAGUCGAACGGAAAGGCCUGCUUUCCCUUGUGGAUUGCGGGUACUCGAGUGGCGAACGGGUGAGUAACACGUGAGUGAUCUGCCCCCAACUUGGGUAUAAGCCUGGGAAACUGGGUCUAAUUCCCGAUAGGACUGCAGGGUGGUGCCUGUGGUGGAAAACGAUUUUCUAGUGGUUGGGGAUGAGCUCGCGGCCUAUCAGCUUGUUGGUGGGGUAAUGGCCUACCAAGGCGGCGACGGGUAGCCGGCCUGAGAGGGUGGACGGCCACAUUGGGACUGAGAUACGGCCCAGACUCCUACGGGAGGCAGCAGUGGGGAAUAUUGCACAAUGGGCGGAAGCCUGAUGCAGCGACGCCGCGUGGGGGAUGACGGCCUUCGGGUUGUAAACUCCUUUCGACCGCGAGGAAGCCACCUGGUUGGAAGGGUGGUGACGGUAGUGGUAGAAGAAGCACCGGCUAACUACGUG
rnacentral:rRNA from 1 species